CCAGACUCCUACGGGAGGCAGCAGUGAGGAAUAUUGGUCAAUGGCCGAGAGGCUGAACCAGCCAAGUCGCGUGAGGGAGGACGGCCCUACGGGUUGUAAACCUCUUUUGUCAGGGAGCAAAGGGCGCCACGUGUGGCGUUUUGCGAGUACCUGAAGAAAAAGCAUCGGCUAACUCCGUGCCAGCAGCCGCGGUAAUACGGAGGAUGCGAGCGUUAUCCGGAUUUAUUGGGUUUAAAGGGUGCGCAGGCGGAAUGUCAAGUCAGCGGUAAAAUUUCGGGGCUCAACCCCGUCGUGCCGUUGAAACUGGCUGUCUUGAGAUGUCGAGAGGUAUGCGGAAUGCGCAGUGUAGCGGUGAAAUGCUUAGAUAUUGCGCAGAACUCCGAUUGCGAAGGCAGCAUACCGGCGGCGAUCUGACGCUGAGGCACGAAAGCGUGGGUAUCGAACAGGAUUAGAUACCCCAGUA
rnacentral:rRNA from 1 species